GUCAUCGAAAACGAUGAGGAGGAGGAGGACUAUACUUACUAACGAUGACACGGCACCGCCGCGUAAAACAAACCUAUGCCGAAAAUCAUAGUUUCAAGUAUUUUGAAUGCUGUAGCCAGAAGACUGCCAGACAAAUGUGGAUUAAUAAGGUUGUGGAGAUAAAAAAAAAUACAUCCACACUACAGCAUCCGAAAUCUCAAAAUCAUUUGCUUCUAUAUCGAAGAGCUCUCUGGAUUUUUUUGAUGACUUUCCGGUCACUUAUCUUGACAUAAAUGCUGAAGGAAUUAAUUAUGUCACUUUAAAAGGAGACGAAGAGCAGGACGGUAUUAUAAAACAAAGUUAAACAUCACGGCCCGAAGACCACCCAAAUGAUGAAAAUGUAUUAACUAGGUUCAGUUCUUUUCAAAUUUGUAUUAAGGGGAGAAAAUCCAAAAUUAAAAUUCAGAUAAAAACUUUAAUGUUUUAAGAAAUUGUAAGUCAUUUCAAGUUUUAGACAUUUUGAAACAAAAAAAUGUUUUGAGAAGAAUGUGUUUGACAGAUGGUAAAGCUGCGGUUUCUUCUGGGAUGUGGGGAUGCAUAGCGAGGAAUGUGUUUGUAAGAACCAAUACAAAUUGUCCUCCAGGACUGCGCUGAGUGAGGAUAGGUAAUUGAAGUAAUUCUAAUAUUCACUCUAAAGAAACAAAUCUACCUCUCUACGCAUCCUUGCACAUCUCUGAUGGAAUCAUGGUCCUUGCUAAUCUUUGGUGGAAUACCUCAUAGCCUUAUUAUACUUGGUUUUGUGAAAGGCUAACUUUAUAUGAUAUACUUAGUUUAAUUCGUUUAUUUAUAUGUAUUUAAUUGCAAAAGACUGAUUGUUGUAGUAAAUUGUACUAUUUUUAUAUAAGAUAUAUUUUUUGUAAAUUCAAGUAAAAAUAAA